GAUUCUUGAAGUGCCAAAUGAAGAGGAAGUCUUUCUUCUUUUUGAAUUGUUUGGAUUCUGUCUCAUGAGAGGAAAAGAGGUGCACUAUGUAAUAGUCAGCAGUAUCCAGGAUCUGGCAAAAGUUUUCUCAAGCUACAAAGAUGAAGUAUUGAAUAUAGAAAGAGGAGGCAGUAAAUUCGUGUGGCCAAGACUAGCGAAGUUGGUGAAAUAGAGGAGGUAACAUCUUUGCAUGAUGUUAAGUUAUAACCAAAUUGUUUUUGCAUUAGUUAUAGUUGAAGAGUAUAUGCAAAAUAUAGGAUUCUGGGAUUGCUUGGCCUAAAGGUUUGGGGUUCAUAUGUUUGUGUUUUCAGGAAUUAGUGGCUGAGAUUUCUACACUGA